rnacentral:misc_RNA from 1 species
GAUGAAGAACGUAGCGAAAUGCGAUACGUAAUGUGAAUUGCAGAAUUCAGUGAAUCAUCGAGUCUUUGAACGCACAUUGCGCCCCCUGGCAUUCCGGGGGGCAUGCCUGUCCGAGCGUCAUUGCUGCCCUUCAAGCCCGGCUUGUGUGUUGGGUCGUCGUCCCCCCCGGGGGACGGGCCCGAAAGGCAGCGGCGGCACCGCGUCCGGUCCUCGAGCGUAUGGGGCUUUGUCACCCGCUCGAUUAGGGCCGGCCGGGCGCCAGCCGGCGUCUCCAACCUUCUAUUUUACCAGGUUGACCUCGGAUCAGGUAGGGAUACCCGCUGAACUUAAGCAUAUCAAUAAGCGGAGGA